CAUGUAGGCGGUCUGUCAAGUCUGAUGUGAAAGCCCGGGGCUCAACCCCGGAAGUGCAUUGGAAACUGGCAGACUUGAGUACGGGAGAGGAAAGUGGAAUUUCGAGUGUAGAGGUGAAAUCCGUAGAUAUUCGAAGGAACACCAGUGGCGAAGGCGGCUUUCUGGACCGAUACUGACGCUGAGAUGCGAAAGCGUGGGGAGCAAACAGGAUUAGAUACCCUGGUAGUCC
rnacentral:rRNA from 1 species